rnacentral:rRNA from 1 species
AUUGAACGCUGGCGGCAGGCCUAACACAUGCAAGUCGAGCGAGCGGCGGACGGGUGAGUAAUGUAUGGGGACUGCCCGAUAGAGGGGGAUAACUACUGGAAACGGUAGCUAAUACCGCAUACUAUCGGAUAACCCAUAUGGGAUGAGCUCGUAGGUGAGGUAAUGGCUCACCUAGGCGACGAUCCCUAGCUGGUCUGAGAUGAUGAUCAGACACACGGGGACUGAGACACGGCGCAGAGUCCGACGGAGGCAGCAGUGGGGAAUAUUGCACAAUGGGCGCAAGCCUGAUGCAGCCAUGCCGCGUGUAUGAAGAAGGCCCUAGGGUUGUAAAGUACUUUCAGUCGGGAGGCGUUACCGACAGAAGAAGCACAGGCUAACUCCGUGCCAGCAGCCGCGGUAAUUC